rnacentral:rRNA from 1 species
GUGCCAGCAGCCGCGGUAAUACGGAGGGUGCAAGCGUUAUUCGGAAUUACUGGGCGUAAAGCGCACGUAGGCGGCUUCGUAAGUCAGGGGUGAAAUCCCACGGCUCAACCGUGGAACUGCCUUUGAAACUGCAAAGCUUGAAUCCUGGAGAGGGUGGCGGAAUUCCUGGUGUAGGAGUGAAAUCCGUAGAUAUCAGGAGGAACACCGGUGGCGAAGGCGGCCACCUGGACAGGCAUUGACGCUGAGGUGCGAAAGUGUGGGGAGCAAACAGGAUUAGAUACCCUGGUAGUCCACACCGUAAACGAUGGAUACUAGGUGUCGGGGACUUGAUCUUCGGUGCCGUAGCUAACGCGUUAAGUAUCCCGCCUGGGGAGUACGGUCGCAAGGCUGAAACUCAAA